CCUAAGGUAGCGAAAUUCCUUGUCAGGUAAGUUCUGACCCGCACGAAUGGCGUAAUGAUUUGGGCACUGUCUCAACAGCCCGCCCGGCGAAAUUGUAGUACUGGUGAAGAUGCCAGUUACCCGCAACUAGACGGAAAGACCCCAUGGAGCUUUACUGCAGCUUAAUACUGGAAUUCGGUAAAUCAUGUACAGGAUAGGUGGGAGACUAGGAAGCAUUGGCGUCAGCCAGUGUGGAGUCGCUGGUGGGAUACCACUCUUGAUUUGCUGGGUUUCUAACCUGCGGCCGUGAAUCCGGUCGGGGGACACUGUUAGGCGGGCAGUUUGACUGGGGCGGUCGCCUCCAAAAGAGUAACGGAGGCGCUCAAAGGUUGGCUCAGCACGGACGGAAAUCGUGCAAUGAGUGUAAACGUAUAAGCCAGCCUAACUGCGAGACCGACGGGUCGAGCAGUAACGAAAGUUGGAGUUAGUGAUCCGGCGGUAUGUGAGUGGAAAUGCCGUCGCUCAACGGAUAAAAGCUACCCUGGGGAUAACAGGCUGAUCUCCCCCAAGCGUCCACAGCGACGGGGAGGUUUGGCACCUCGAUGUCGGCUCGUCACAUCCUGGGGCUGUAUUCGGUCCCAAGGGUUCGGCUGUUCGCCGAUUAAAGUGGCACGCGAGCUGGGUUCAGAACGUCGUGAGACAGUUCGGUCCCUAUCUGUUGCGGGCGUAAGAGAUUUGAAGGGAGCUGUCCUUAGUACGAGAGGACCGGGAUGGACGUACCUCUGGUGCACCAGUUGUCCUGCCAAGGGCAUAGCUGGGUAGCUAUGUACGGACGAGAUAAACGCUGAAAGCAUCUAAGCGUGAAACUCCCCCUAAGAUGAGAUCUCUCAUCCUUUAAGGAGUAAGGACCCAGAAAGACGAUCUGGUUGAUAGGCCGAAGGUGGAAGCGCAGUAAUGUGUGCAGCUGAUCGGUACUAAUAGUCCGAGGGCUUGACCU
rnacentral:rRNA from 1 species